AACGAACGCUGGCGGCAUGCCUAACACAUGCAAGUCGAACGAGACCUUCGGGUCUAGUGGCGCACGGGUGCGUAACGCGUGGGAACCUGCCCUUAGGUUCGGAAUAACUCCCCGAAAGGGGUGCUAAUACCGGAUAAUGUCUUCGGACCAAAGAUUUAUCGCCUUUGGAUGGGCCCGCGUUGGAUUGGCUAGUUGGUAGGGUAAAAGCCUACCAAGGCGACGAUCCAUAGCUGGUCUGAGAGGAUGAUCAGCGACACUGGGACUGAGACACGGACGAGAAUGCUACGGGAGGCAGCAGUGGGGAAUAUAGGACAAUGGGCGAAAGCCUGAUCCAGCAAUGCCGCGGGAGUGAUGAAGGCCUUAGGGUUGUAAAGCUCUUUUACACGGGAUGAUAAUGACAGUACCGGGAGAAUAAGCACCGGCUAACUCCGUG
rnacentral:rRNA from 1 species